rnacentral:rRNA from 1 species
CAGUAGCCACGGUAAUACGGAGGGUGCAAGCGUUAAUCGGAAUUACUGGGCGUAAAGCGUGCGUAGGCGGUUCGUUAAGUCUGCUGUGAAAGCCCCGGGCUCAACCUGGGAAUGGCAAUGGAUACUGGCGAGCUAGAGUGUGUCAGAGGAUGGUGGAAUUCCCGGUGUAGCGGUGAAGUGCGUAGAUAUCAGGAGGAACACCUGUGGCGAAAGCGGCUCACUGGACCAUAACUGACGCUGAGGAGCGAAAGCGUGGGGAGCGAACAGGAUUAGAUACCCCCGUAGUCCCUGUCUCUUAUAC